GACCUGUCUCAGCUCUGCUCCUCACCCAAUUCAAAAAGAAAUUGUGCAACUCAUAUCAGCUGUCAUCAUCUACUGCACCUAUAUAUGUGAGAUCUGUCCUUCUCACUCUUACAGUUCCUUUAAGCCAAUUGGAUGCCUUCAGAUUGGCAUGAUCACCCCCACCAACCAAGGGAGAGUUACUGGAUGAGUGGCUUGACCCGGCCCCGUCCUCUAAAAGAAUCCAUGGAUCCACCUCAUGAUCAUUCUCUUGCUGUGAUGACACGUGCUUGGCCUUCCCAGCCACACUCGUGGCAGUUCGUAGUAAUGAACCUGGAUUCCUCUGAGUUUGGUUUGACCCAUUAGAAGAGUGCAAUACAGACACUGGGUUGCUGGGUAGCAGAGAACUGAGAGCGGCUGGUAAUACGGACGGGGGCUGACAAGAUAUUGACAACCGAGCAGAAGGGAAAAGUAUUGGCAUGGCACAUUGGAUGCGCCAUCUGACUGUUUCAGGCAGCUGCAUCCGAUCUAAAUCAUUCUGGAGACUCUCGGCUCCCUCACGUUCAAACGCAGAGUAAUCCUUGCUAG
rnacentral:misc_RNA from 1 species